rnacentral:rRNA from 1 species
ACGGAAUAGAUACCCUGGUAGUCCCAGCCGUAAACGAUGCUCGCUAGGUGUCAGGCAUGGCGCGACCGUGUCUGGUGCCGCAGGGAAGCCGUGAAGCGAGCCACCUGGGAAGUACGGCCGCAAGGCUGAAACUUAAAGGAAUUGGCGGGGGAGCACAACAACGGGUGGAGCCUGCGGUUUAAUUGGACUCAACGCCGGACAACUCACCGGGGGCGACAGCAAUAUGUAGGCCAGGCUGAAGACCUUGCCUGAAUCGCUGAGAGGAGGUGCAUGGCCGUCGCCAGUUCGUACUGUGAAGCAUCCUGUUAAGUCAGGCAACGAGCGAGACCCGUGCCCACUGUUACCAGCAUAUUCUCCGGAAUGAUGGGUACUCUGUGGGGACCGCCGAUGUUAAAUCGGAGGAAGGUGCGGGCCACGGUAGGUCAGUAUGCCCCGAAUCUCCGGGCUACACGCGGGCUACAAUGGAUGGGACAAUGGGUCCCUACCCCGAAAC